rnacentral:misc_RNA from 1 species
CAUCAACAACAGCACUGCUGAUCUUCUUAAAUAGCUCAUACAAUGCUUCUAUUUCACUCACACUAAACACUGUUUCUCUAGCUAAGAGUUCAGGAUCUUCGAGGCCCUUCGGCUGCUUGUUCAAGUCAAGAUCACAGCACUUAACCAGGGCAGUGCCUAAAUGCCUGAGCCACUGCAACAUGGUAUUCCCCAGUCGUUAACAAAACCCAUACCUGUUAACCAUUUGUAGCUUCCUCUCCAAUGACAGCACCAAGCGGUUUCACUGAUUUGUGACCCCAAGCUUGUCUUUAUGGAGACGAAUCUACGGCCGGGGAGAGGGGCAACUUGAGAUUCUGCGUGAGAUUUCGG